GAACGGGCUGCGCUCACCAUGGCCUGGACCCCUGUGCUCCUCGUGCUCCUCGCUCACUGCACAGGGUCCCUCUCCCAGCCGGUGCUGACUCAGCCGCCCUCCCUUUCUGCAUCUCUGGGAGCCACAGCCACACUCACCUGCACCCUGAGCAGUGGCUUCAAUGUUGGCAGCUACACUAUAUACUGGUACCAGCAGAAGCCAGGGAGCCGUCCCCGGUACCUGCUGUACUACUACACAAACUCAGAUAAGGACCAGGGCUCCGGGGUCCCCAGCCGCUUCUCUGGAUCCAAAGACGCCUCGGCCAAUGCGGGGCUCCUGACCAUCUCGGGGCUGCAGCCUGAGGACGAGGCCGACUAUUACUGUGCGAUCUGGCACAAUAGUGCUUCCCACAAAAAACAGACCCAACACCAAAACCCAAUGGUCAUUAUGUCCCUGAAAGGAGGCCUGUCCUCCGUGGGUCAGAAGCCCAGGUCCCGGGCGAUGGCUGUUUCUGACAUGAAAUAA